GAUGAACGCUGGCGGCGUGCCUAAUACAUGCAAGUCGAGCGAACGGACGAGAAGCUUGCUUUUCUGAUGUUAGCGGCGGACGGGUGAGUAACACGUGGAUAACCUACCUAUAAGACUGGGAUAACUUCGGGAAACCGGAGCUAAUACCGGAUAAUAUUUUGAACCGCAUGGUUCAAAAGUGAAAGACAGUCUUGCUGUCACUUAUAGAUGGAUCCGCGCUGCAUUAGCUAGUUGGUAAGGUAACGGCUUACCAAGGCAACGAUGCAUAGCCGACCUGAGAGGGUGAUCGGCCACACUGGAACUGAGACACGGUCCAGACUCCUACGGGAGGCAGCAGUAGGGAAUCCUCCGCAAUGGGCGAAAGCCUGACGGAGCAACGCCGCGUGAGUGAUGAAGGUCUUCGGAUCGUAAAACUCUGUUAUUAGGGAAGAACAUAUGUGUAAGUAACUGUGCACAUCUUGACGGUACCUAAUCAGAAAGCCACGGCUAACUACGUG
rnacentral:rRNA from 1 species